UCCGCCCUCGCGCGCACGGAGCGCCGUGCCUGGGAUCUCUAGAAGGGAAAGCGACGGCGCCGUGCGAGCUUGGCGCGCGCGUGUCGACACCCGCAGACCCCGGUUCAUCAGGUCAGGUCUCUCUCCAUCAUUGGCUUCGGCUUUGACCGCUGAAUGGCGCCAGGCGUCAGCGCGGAUGCGCAUGCGCUGGUGCGAUUGUGAUUCAGAUUGUGUGACGCACGCAACGGCCCAUGGAUACAUCGGCAGCGUCUUGUCAUUGCCGCAUGCGUCGUCGGAGCCCAAAGGUCCAUUACUAUUUCUCCUGGCUGGAAAAGUACGUGCACCCAUUGUUGGGCCUGUUGGUUGAUUUUGGUUCGACAACUCUGCUCAAACAAACACCUCUGCUCAGGGAAUUUCCUCACUCCUUGUUUGCUUAGAGCCUUGUUUAGUUCCAUUUUUUUUUUGCAAAAUGAAUACUGUAGCACUUUCGUUUGUACUAGAACCG
rnacentral:lncRNA from 1 species